rnacentral:rRNA from 1 species
AGGACAAACGCUGGCGGAAUGUAUUAGGCAUGCAAGUCGUACGAACCUUCGGGUUAGUGGCGAACGGGUGAGUAACACGUGGGUAACCUGCCUCGUAGUGGGGAAUAACUCGCCGAAAGGCGAGCUAAUACCGCAUAACACCUCUGGUGAGAUUCCAGAUGGUAAAAGCUCCGGCGCUACGAGAGGGGCCCGCGGUCGAUUAGCUAGUUGGUGGGGUAACGGCCUACCAAGGCGACGAUCGAUAGCUGGUCUGAGAGGAUGGUCAGCCACACGGGGACUGAGAUACGGCCCCGACUCCUACGGGAGGCAGCAGCUAAGAAUCUUGCGCAAUGGGCGAAAGCCUGACGCAGCAAUUCCGCGGUGGGGACGAAGGCCGUUCGGGUACGUUAAACCCCGUUUGCGAGGAAGAAGUACUGGACGGUACCUCGCGAAUAAGACACGGACUAACUACGUGCCAGCAGCCGC